GUGAACCGGUGGAGGUGGAAACGGAUAGAGUCGGCGCUAUCUUGCAAGUAUUCAUUUACAUUUUUAUCGUAUUGUAAUCUCUGAGCUCCAGAUUGGGACAGUUUUUACUUUAUUAUAAAAUUGAGAUGCAUUUGCUUGUUUGGUGCGUAGGGAUGUUUGAGAUAGAUUUGUGACCGCCGUUUUGAGGCCAGCUUGCUGGUACCCAAACNGUGUUAGCAUUUUUUAUCUUGGAUAUUUGAGUAUGGCUUACGGGCGUUUAUAGGUUCGAUCUGAGUGUAAGUUACGGUCGCAUGCGACACGUGCUUUUCAAUUAGUUCGGUCCAGUUAAUGCUCUCAUACUCUUUCCCUAUGUAAAAGCCGGUCAUCUAUCCGACCCGUCUUGAAACACGGACCAAGGAGUUUAUCGUGUGCGCAAGUUUUUGGGUGUUUAAAACCUAAAAGCGCAAUGAAAGUAAAUGUUCUCUUUCGAGACUGAUGUGCGAUAUUUUUUUUUCGAAAAAAUUGCAGCAUGGCCCCAUUCUAUCUGUUUACAGAAGGGUGGCGGAAGAGCGUACGCGGUGAGACCCGAAAGAUGGUGAACUAUUCCUGAGCAGGAUGAAGCCAGAGGAAACUCUGGUGGAAGUCCGAAGCGGUUCUGACGUGCAAAUCGAUCGUCUGACUUGGGUAUAGGGGCGAAAGACUAAUCGAACCAUCUAGUAGCUGGUUCCUUCC
rnacentral:rRNA from 1 species